GGAUAUUCUAAAUAGAGACAACAUCUUUAAAAGGCAUGGAGUGACUGCAAGCCAAGGAGUGAGGGCUCAGAAGAAACCAAAUCUGUCAACAUCUUGAUCUGGGACUCCUGGCCUCCAGACUGUGGGAAGAUAAAUUUAUGUUGGCCUUUGGUAACUUAUUAUGGCAGCCCGAGCUGACUACCACAGGAGGGGUCUCUGAGCUACCUGGAGGGAGAAGGGUCUGCACCUGGAGACUCCCACCUAAGAUAGGGGUUUAGAUGAGACCACUCUGGGAGGACACGCGGCCGAAUGUGGAGGCCCCACAGCCGAAUGUGGAGGCCCCGAGGAAGAUCAGCUCUGAAGACACAGGCAGGCAAAGGGCAGACCUCGAAGGAGAUGGAGGAGGAAUGACAGAGGGCAAGAAGAAUCAGGUGAGGGACUGCCACAAAAGCCAGUGACAAAAACUUCCAGAAGAGCUGUCAACAGUACCAAACAAAGCAGAAGAGUCUCAUAAGAUUAAAAAUAAAAUUUGCUUCCAUAAUCUGGUGACUGUCAGGGCACAAUGAGCCAAGGAAAAAACAGUUUUCCUGUACUGGUGAGAGCAGAAAGCAGAUUCCAGAGGACUGGAAGUUCUUAAGAGCUGUGGGAAUGGAGACAAGAAGUGUUUUGAUAAUUAGAUGAGGGUGCAGCAGUUUAAAGGAGAGAUUAUUAAGGAUAGGAGAGGCUGGGUGUGAUGGCUCGUGCCUGUGGUCCCAGCUACUUGCGAGGCUGAGGCGGCAGGAUCACCUGAGCUCCGGAGGCAGAGGUUGCAGUGAGCCGAAAUCGCGCCACUGAACUCCAGCCUGGGCAACAGAGCCAGACUCUGUCUCAAAAAAAAAAAAAAAAGAUGGGAGAAGUGUGAGCAUAGUCAGCAGUUAGAGGGAGAAGGAGAGGGAAGGGAGGGAGGGCGGAGGACAGAGGACCGUGGGUGACGACAGAGCCAGGUCCUGGUGGAGGAGGGCCUCAGGUAGCUGGUGCACUGGGCAGGGUCCCCAGGACAUUUCCGUUUUGGAGCUUCUGCCACCAAAGCAGAUGAAACUGAGAUUUUCCUCUCUCCUUAUCAGACACUUCCUUGAAGCGUGUAAGCUUUCAAUUUAAAAAUAAGAUGGUAUAUGGCUGGGCGCAGUGGCUCACGCCUGUAAUCCCAGCACUUUGGGAGGCCGAGGCACGCGGAUCACGAGGUCAGGAGAUCAAGACCAUCCUGGCUAACACUGUGAAACCCCGUCUCUACUAAAAACACAAAAAAUUAGCCGUGGUGUGGUGGCGGGCACCUGUAGUCCCAGCUACUUGGGAGGCUGAGGCAGGAGAAUGGAGUGAACACGGGAAGCGAAGCUUGCAGUGAGCUGAGAUUGCGCCACUGCACUCCAGCCUGGGAGAUAGAGCGACACUCCGUCUCAAAAAAA